UUAAGGCAGCAAAAUAUCAGAGCAAACAAACACCGUUUGCUAAAUGCAUAAAUGUAAAUGCUAAAAACCUGCCGUUUUAAAAUAAAUGAGGCCCGUAUCAUUAUACAUAAUACACUUAUGACCCAUUUUUUAAGUGAGCCAAAUGAAGUGAGCAUGACAAAAACCACAUACAAGGAAGCAAUAUCCCCCUGAGAUAGAAUAGAUUUAUUAGCAAGAGGUAAUCAGGAAACAUACAGUUUAUUUAAUUUUCUUUCUUUCUUUUUCUUUUCUGUUCAUUUCUUUUUUUUGUACAAAAACUGGAAAUAUUUCCCAAGCCGUGGAAAUAAACUUAAGGGUUGAAAGAUAAUU